ACUCAUUAUACAAUUAGACAUUGUAAGCCUAUUUAUCUGAUUCGGCCCAACCCGGAUCCAAUAACAAACCAAAUAUUUAGUAGGUAUCCAAAAUAGAUAACUUUCCUAAUCUCUAUCUCUUUCACGCCGCCUAUCACCAUUUUCCUUCGUUUCUUCAAAAUUGGUUUCUUUCGAUUGUUACGCUGGAGAAUCAAUCUUGUAUCGCCUUCUUGUCAAAGCUUCACCUCCAGAUUCAGCUUCCAAUAAUGGCUAAUAUGUUGAAAAAAAUGAUUGGAAAAAAUUUCUUCUCCAAAAGAUAAAAAAAUAUGAAUAAGAAAAGAAAAGCAAAAGAAAUUGCAGAGUCAAGCAAUGUUGACGACGAUGUUGAGAACUCUUCUGCUAAUGAAUCUGAAGAAGACAUGGAGGAAGAGGUUGUAUUUAAGAACAUUGAGCCAACUCAAAGGGAAAUGUCAAAGUUUGAAAUACCAGAGCAGGAUGGAGUUGAUGAUGAACGUUAAGUUAAUUCAGAUGAUGAUUUUCAGGAUCCAUCACCAAAAGAAAUUUAUGAACUCUCAAUGUGACGACGAAGCACCAUUGAGGCCUGUUAGGGAAAGUAAGAUAAUAAGUGUCACAAAAAUAUUUGAAGUCUGAAUGUUGAUGAUUUUAUUACAUUGUGUAGUAACAAGAUUAAACUGAAUGUUGAAAUUAAUUUUAAAAAGUUAUUUUAUGUUUUGAAGUGAAUCAAAGUUACUAAUUGUAAAGUGAAUGUAAUUUAUUCAUUUUUGUCUUUUAUGUUGAA